rnacentral:tRNA from 4 species
GCGUCCGUAGCUCAGUUGGUUAGAGCCCCACCUUGACAUGGUGGGGGUCGGUGGUUCGAGUCCACUCGGACGCACCA